CGACGACGACGACGGACCCUCGCCGCUUCCAGACGCCAAAGAAAGGUCCGGCUCCAUUGCGGUCAACUAAUAUCGCCGAUUUCUGAGCCAAGUCAACUCCAUUGAAUGCGACGUAGGUCACACAGGUGGCGGCUACGAUGCAGAGAGGCAGAGGUACAAAGGACCGUAGGAUGGAAAUACCCCAGGAAACAGGACAUUCUACGCAGACCGGUGCGACACCCGGGGGGCCUUCGAGCCCCCCAGCGGCUCCCGGAGAGCAGCUCCAUGGGCAGAGGACGAGAGUCGAGGGGAAGCGUCCCGAGGCGAAAGGCGUACAGCUGCGCGGCUGCGGGGCGGGAAAAACUGUAAGCGGGCGCUGCGCGAAAUGUCUGACAGGCUGAGAAUCAGCAACCGGUACGCGUCCUCCGUCCGCCGGCCCUUCACCUGUGACAGCCUUUAACAAAGCGAGAGACUGUCCACACUGGAGAGGGCUGUUUGCUGAUGUCGAUGAAAAGAGUUCACAGAAAGCAGCUGACCUCAUGACCUACUCAUUAUGUGCUGUGAAUGUUGGCAUUGAUAGCCCAAUAUGCACACUCUCUGCAGCUGUUGGAUUUAUAUAAUUUUGAUGCACAAGCCUGACAUUGACAUACCCGAAAUAAAAUGGCUCUUGAACCCUUUCGAAUACAGCCCUGACCCUGGUCUCUUCUCAAAGGGGAGUGUCGGAGUUUACUAUCCGACAUUUCGGGGUACCGAAACAAAUUUACAAAUGCACAAACACAAAUUUGCCUAUUUAGCUGUUUUGUGUUCCGUCCUAUUAGAAAAUAGGUAACCGUUGCCUAUGAGACACGUGGAUUUUAAAAUUACUUCCGCAGACAUUAUUGUGAGGCUUUAUUC